AUAACAUGGAAUGAAUAAAUAAUUUCUGUAUUGUAGCAGAUACACCUUAGUAGGCAGAAUAGCAUCAGAAAUGGUCAGUAAGCUUCAUUCUAUACACAGAAGCAUCGAAUGUUUCAGGUUCUCUACCUUAUAUUCAAUGCAUUAUGAUGUCAUAAUCUAAACCACAUUUUCUGAAUGACUCCCUGACUGCAUAUUUCCAUACAAUUCUCAUUCUUAGAGGAAAAACAAAACUAGGGGAAAAGUUUCCUAGUGCAGUGACUUCUGCACCCGAGUAAAUAGAGUGAAACCUCAUUCACACCUCUCUUUUCCCUAGUAAAAAAACACAAGAAAGUCUGCAAAAAAGAGAUUUCUUCUCAAAUCACUCCUGUGCUGCCUGACUGCUACCUUGGAUGACCCAGUGAUGGACAGCUGUGUUGACCUCCACUUUAUUUCCACAAAUUCUUCUGUUCUGUGUGACUGCAAAAAUGUUUCCUCUGCUUCCAGACAAGUCCAAGAAAACUGCUGGCACUGACAGAAGAUGAAAAUAUGAUUUAUGCUGACACCAUGUAUUACCCAAGCAAAUCUGUUUUGUGAAAGAUGGUUUUUAUGGUGUUGAAAUAAAGAAUCAGUGAAUUGUUCUUGAAGGAA